GACGAACGCUGGCGGCGUGCUUAACACAUGCAAGUCGAACGGAAAGGCCCUGCUUUUGUGGGGUGCUCGAGUGGCGAACGGGUGAGUAACACGUGAGUAACCUGCCCUUGACUUUGGGAUAACUUCAGGAAACUGGGGCUAAUACCGGAUAGGAGCUCCUGCUGCAUGGUGGGGGUUGGAAAGUUUCGGCGGUUGGGGAUGGACUCGCGGCUUAUCAGCUUGUUGGUGGGGUAGUGGCUUACCAAGGCUUGGACGGGUAGCCGGCCUGAGAGGGUGACAGGCCACAUUGGGACUGGGCUACGGCCCAGACUCCUACGGGAGGCAGCAGUGGGGAAUAUUGCACAAUGGGCGGAAGCCUGAUGCAGCAACGCCGCGUGCGGGAUGACGGCCUUCGGGUUGUAUUCCGCUUUCGCCUGUGACGAAGCGUGAGUGACGGUAAUGGGUAAAGAAGCACCGGCUAACUACGUG
rnacentral:rRNA from 1 species